GGUUACAUAGACAUAGAAUUAGAGAGGCGAUGAAAGAGAGGGAGGCGACGAUCACACAGGGAAAGAAGCAGAGAGAGAGGGGUGAUAAAAUAGAGAGAGGAUGAAGCAGAACGGCGAACUCUGCAUCGAUUCUGCCAAGUUUACGGUAAAAUCCAACCAGAAUCCCGAUCAUUACAACGUUUGAAAGCCCAAUUUACACAGAAAACCCAAAACGACCCACUCCCGAUAAACCUUUUCUUCUUCUUUGUCUCUUCCUCCGCGUUGAAGCCGUUUUCUCUGCCUCUCUCAAUUCUUAAAACCCCUAAACCAUAGCCGCCGCUCUCUCACUCCUUCAGCAUCCCAUCACCGUCAUAUAUCGUUUAGAACAACUAUAAAAAACAGUUGUUCUGCCAUUUUUUCUACUGUUUGGAGGUGAAUUUUUUUUUUAAAAAAAGUCUCACUCAGGGGAAGAUAGAGAGAGGCUGGAACCACUACCGGUUUGGAGAGGCAAAGACAGAAAUUAGAGAGAACGUGAGUUCGUUAUUCAGAAAGAGCAUUGGUAACCGGAGAAAUCAGACAUCUUCCUAUCAGAAUGCCAGAAACCUUUAUCCUGGGUAUUUUUUGCUGAUGGAUCUCCAGUACAACAAAGGACUUACCAAUGCUUUGGUCAUUUAGUUGACUCCUUGCUGCCAAUCUGUACUUGCUGUCAUGCUAGCAAAAACAGGGGUUUCAACCGGUUUUACAUAUUAUUGGAUUUGAACCAAUGACUCUCGCCAUAUGAAAGCGAACUGCUGAGUCAAGUAAGUCAAGCUGAGCCAAAUCAGAGAAAAUAGACUCCUAUAAGAGGGCCAUGCAACUAGAGUUCCAUCCUACCUGUUUUGUUGUUUUUGAAGAGUGAUUGAAAUUGUAGAACUUUGAUAUCUGAAAGUGUAAUUUUUUUAUACAAAGUUGAUUAUCUCUUAGAUUUUAGUUAAUAUUGCACUCUAUCUGCAUAAUUACCAGGGUUAGCUACUUUAAACUUUUAUUUUAAUGGAAGAUAAUUGCAGAAAAUGUACUUUGUUGUUGUAACUUUAUGGUUUCUGGUGGGUGAAAUUUCUUUAAUAAAAUAAUGAAUGUGAUUGCUAUUAAGUUGACAGAAAUUCUAUGUAAUUCAUUUAG